UUACCAGAUCUUGACAUCCAAUUGACCAUCUUUUAAUCGUAGAUUUUGCCUUCGGGUACAAUUGAGGACAGGUGGUGCAUGGUUGUCGUCAGCUCGUGUCGUGAGAUGUUGGGUUAAGUCCCGCAACGAGCGCAACCCUUGUGUUUAGUUGCAAACAGGUCAAGCUGUGCACUCUAGACAGACUGCCGUGGACAACACGGAGGAAGGUGGGGGAUGACGUCAAAUCAUCAUGCCCCUUAUGAUCUGGGCUACACACGUGCUACAAUGGCCGGUACAACGGGCAGCGAAGGAGCGAUCCGGAGCGAAUCCUAAAAAGCCGGUCCCAGUUCGGAUUGCAGGCUGAAACUCGCCUACAUGAAGUUGGAGUUGCUAGUAAUCGCGAAUCAGAAUGUCGCGGUGAAUGCGUUCCCGGGUCUU
rnacentral:rRNA from 1 species